GUAGGGAAUAUUGGGCAAUGGAUGCAAGUCUGACCCAGCCAUCCCGCGUGCCGGAAGAAGGCCCUCAGGGUUGUAAACGGCUUUUGACGGUGAAGAAUCGACAGGAUGCGUCCUGUUUUGACGGUAGCCGUUGAAUAAGCACCGGCUAACUCCGUGCCAGCAGCCGCGGUAAUACGGAGGGUGCGAGCGUUGUCCGGAUUUAUUGGGUUUACAGGGUGCGUAGGCUGGAAGGUCAGUCAGCGGUGAAAAGCUGUCGCUUAACGAUAGUCUUGCCGCAGAUACUUCCUUUCGUGGAUGAGGAGGAGGCCACUGGAACGGAUGGUGUAGCGGUGAAAUGCAUAGAUAUCAUCCAGAACACCGAUUGCGAAGGCAGGUGGCUGUACCUUAAUCGACGCUGAUGCACGAAAGCAUGGGGAGCAAACAGGAUUAGAUACCCGGGUAGUCC
rnacentral:rRNA from 1 species